UACGAAGGUGGCAAGCGUUGUUCGGAUUUACUGGGCGUAAAGGGAGCGUAGGUGGUUAGGUAAGCCCUCCGGGAAAUCUUCAGGCUUAACCUGAAAAGGUCGGGGGGGACUGCCUGGCUAGAGGACGGGAGAGGAGCGCGGAAUUCCCGGUGUAGAGGUGAAAUUCGUAGAUAUCGGGAGGAACACCGGUGGCGAAGGCGGCGACCUGGGUAGAUACUGACGCUGAGGUGCGAAAGCGUGGGGAGCAAACAGG
rnacentral:rRNA from 1 species